AUGUCCAUGCCUCCAGUGACUGGUCCGCUCUGCCCCACUGCACACUCUCUGACUCUAGCUGCAGCAGCCUGAGCUAAGGCAUGGCUAAUGUCGCAGGCUUAAGGGUGAAAGUCAUCCAUGUGAACUAACUCAGAUAGCAUCAGGUAUUUUCUGUCAAAUCUAUGUUUACUUUUUACAUCGGAAUUACACACAUACAUAUAUGCAUACAAUCAAAUAAGUUAUAUAUGCAUGUAGACCUGUGAAACAGCCAGAUCUGCCCUACGUUUGUAUUUGUACGGUCAUUGUAUUUGUGCAAGAAUGCUCAAAUAAUAUUAAACAUUGCCAGAGUAAAGGAUCUCCGUGAACAAAGUUAGUUUGAUUCUGCCAUUGCUCAUUUUUGUUUCUAGAUAUUUUUUUCUUAACGAAAUAAAUUAAAAAAAACAAAGGGAUGCUAAAAGAUAAUUUAACAUUGUGUGCUAAAACAGAUGGUUUGCAUAGUAUUAAUUAAUGAAAAACUUUAGUCCAAUCUGUUGCUUUGAGGCUUGCUUCCAUCCUUUCAUUCUCUUUCUUUUUUAUUAGAAACACUUGUACCUGAUUUUGACAUAUAAUUUAUCAGAGCUAAAAAAUGCAGCAGUAGGUCUGUAUGGCAGAGCCAAAUGUUUGAUACAAUCAGCAACUCUUAGCUAGUGAUUACCUAACUGCUGCAGGCAUGAAAAUGAUGCUCUAAAUUACAUUAAAUGAAGCAGCAUACUGGAAAAUGACCAAGAUUACUCAGCAUUUUCAUCUUAGGAAAUCCUUCUGGUGCCAGAAUAGGAAAAGCCUUUACUAGUCCAUUUCUACCAGUGACACAAAUAUACAAAAAUAUAGAAUACAGAAUACAAAAAUACAAGGUAAAUUCACCCGCAGUUAUUUAGACAGAAUGACAAGUAAUCAUUCUGAACAAGCAAAUUAAGGAAUGACUUCAAUGAGAAAAAUCAGUGCUACAUGCUGUAGUGCAGGGACUACAUGCAGUUUUAAGAUUAAUGCCCUGAGUCCUUGGAGUAAGCCUUCCUGAAAUCUUGUAAUGCCAUGCCAUCACCCAGUCACAAAAAUUAGAGUUACCUCACUCAGAGUCAAGCCAGAAUUCUCAUGGCACUGACAGACCUAAAUGUUUUUCUGGAUACACAUCCAAUAUCUGUGUAGUUUCAAGUUCAGGAGAUCCCAAAAACCUGGAAACAAAUCUAUCUCAUGCAUUCAGACAGCUUGAAUGAGAGUGAGUGGAGGCUGGCUGCGGCUCUUGUUUAUGACACCACCAGAGCACACAGGGAGAUUAGAACUUUCAUUUCCAGAGCAAGUGAGAUACUGAGCAAGAACUAUGCCUCUUUCAUGUGGCAGAGAAAUUCACUCUUAAGUGCACCUGAAAGCAUUUAAGUGAGAGAAGGAAACCAUGUGUUUUUUUCAUUUGCAAACUCACUCGCUGAAUUAUUCAGAUUGUCUCCAGCUCCACAGGUUUGACUUGAAGUUUUCAGGAGUGAGUGUGCACAUCAAUUUUGAGGUUUCUUCUGGGAUAAUUUGUGGUGAAAGAAAAGCAACAAUAGGAAAUUGCAUGUCCCUCCUUCAGGCUCUGAUGGAAGAGGAAUCCUCCCGCAAAGGUAUCUCAAGAAUUAGUGUUUAUUUUGUCAUCCAAUACAGCCAGAUAUUAUGUCAUCUUUGUCAAAUUCUCUAUUCUGUGUCUGUUAUCAGAGUGAAUUUCCCCUACUUUUAGCAAAUUUGGACGUAAAAUCCUCAAAAAUCAUGUAAAUGUGAGAGUCAGUAGCUGAUAGAAAGUAUAAGGAGAUCAGGAAUUUGCCUCAGUUUUUAUAGCUUAAAUUAUUGCUCAUCCACCCAUUUUAGUUGUGGGGAAUGCUGAAGAAAGAGUAAUGCUGAGAAUUGCUUCCAGUAACAUUUGAAAAUGACUUUACAAAAAUAGGCACUGCUUUACAUUUUUGUUGAAAGUAUUGAAACAGGAAAAGUGCACUGAAUACUGACCUAUUGUGAAAUACUGUCUACUGAGAAUAUGUUCUAAAGAGGUACCCACGUGUAUGUGUGUACUCUGUACAAACAUAUCUACAAUAAUCAGUUUGUCUGCAGAAAACAUUUUCCAGUCUCCACUGUUUGUAGCAGCAAAUGUUCAAAACACAGCAAUGUCCUACAGGAACAUCAGUUGGAGUAAAACAUUGAUUUGACAACGAGUUGGGUUGAAUGCUGACAUAUUUAGUCUGUACAUGCAAAAUUGGUACCCCUGAUUGCCCAGUGAAUAAACAGUGUAGAUAACUAACUAGCUAAAUGCAUCUUUGAAUUUGUCUUUGUGGCCACACUUAGAGACAGGAAGCUCAAACCCAACACGAAAGUGCCUCUGACACAAAUUCCUUUGCCUCAGAGCUUCUUGCAAAGUCCAAAGAGUGUCUGCCCUUUUUCAAGGUGUGCUUAGGGCUGCUUCUCCUGUAGACAAUAAUUUGCUCAUGAAUUCAAAUGGAUUCACAAAAUUGGCAUUCCUUCAUCCAGCAAGCAUCUCAAAGGCCAUGAUUUGGCCUUUCCAUCAUUCCAAGUACAAUGAACGCUUAAAAAAAAAACAAGCAGUGGCAGCAGCACGAGCAAUAGUACCCUCUUUUACUUAGUGUGUGAGUUAACAUAAUAUGUAAUUCAAGAAUAAUAAACCCACAAGAUUUUCUAAGACUACUACACAAAGCAACAAUGAAUGAAUCACAGUAUUAGUUGUCUGCAGUGUUAAGUAGAUGAUGCAUAGACAACUUAGCUAGGAAAAGAAUUGAUUAGUGAACCAAAACACAAUGGUUAGGAGUAAAUCCAGGAAACAUCCUCCCUUUGAGAUAAUGAGAGGACAAAUUCAGAAUGCAUUUGCUAAGCUAUUGGAAGAGCAGCAAAAAAAAAAAAGAGUUUGCAGUUUAAAAUAAGAGGUUAAGCCAUUUCUGUUUACAUGGAUUUUAACAUAUCUGAUAGUACUAGGGCCUCUGUUUUGUAACUAGAUUAGCUGAUGUGAAUCUGGCUGCAUCUGUGUGGCAUCACUGGGAUGAGUGGGAUCCAGAGGGAUGACUAACUGCAGCAGUGGAUUUUAUUUCCAGACUGGAGUGCAAGUUGUCCAGCUGGCCAAAUAGCUCUCCGUGUGAAUGCCCUGCUGUUCUGUACUCUAGACUUUUAGUACAGCCAUAUUACAUGCAAAAUUUUCUUCAUCUUGAGCAGAGCUAGAGAAAAUAUCAGAGCUCCUACAAUUAAUACAAGAAGUAGUGAGAAAACAUGUUUCUUAUGUAGCUGUACAUAUGUUGGGAAAUUAUAUGCAGAAAGACAUGCUGGAACAGAAUAAAAUUUGUUUUGGAUGAAAAUAAAAUAUAAAGAGUAGAAAAACAAACCUUUUCCAUGGAAAUUAAGAAAAGUGGGAGAGGAGAAAACAGGAAUAGUUUCAACCUUACAAAUGUUCACCUGCACUGCAUCCAGAAGUCUUUCAACAGGAUGCCACAAUUAAAAAAAAAAAAAAAUCAAGAGCAAAAUAGGCACUGUUUUGCUUAUUACACAGUUGGUGAUGCCAGCUACCUACCUUUAUUUGUCAUAGUAUCUUAUUACCUGCUUGAAAUUUUGAGUGAUGGAAACAAUUAAAAUUGGAAUGGAGAAAAAUAAACUCCGCAUGUUUCAGUCAAGUAAUCAGAAAUCCACCUGAAAAGCAGGUGUUGCUCAGCUGUCAGUCAGUGUAACUAUGUAAAGGACUUUAUUUGCUACCUGAGGCUUUCCCAAAGGCUUUUCGCAUGUGUUGGCUUUGCUUAAUAAAAACAGCAAAAUAAAGAGGGAUUUAUUUUUUUUUAACCUCACAUGUUGAGGUAAGGAUGCUUACAGUAUUUUAGGAAAGUUGGGACUGUCAUUAAUGUCAUCUAGACAAAAAGCAGGAGCACAGCAUUAUUUUGUUACUGUGAAACGUUUCUAAAUGUACCUUGCAGCUUCGUAUAACGUAGGAUGGUAUUUCUGUUGAUGACUCAUGCUGACUCACCCACCAAACCAGAAUUUACUGAGCUUUCUUCUGUGACCACACACAGCGAUAUGAUUUCCAGUCUGAGAGAAAUUUUUCACAUUUAAUUUAGUAGGCUUUAACUACAGACACAGAUACACUUCUUCAGUGGUUGCCUUCAUCUGUAUUUAUGUCUUUUUAAAAUAUGUGCUCUGAUUAUGUUUUGCAGAAUCCUUUGAAAUCAAUUUUAAAAUAAUGUGGGUAAGUGCAACUGUACUUUCCAAGCACAGAGGUCUGUUUUAUGGUGCUGCAGGUAUAUGGAAAUAGUGAUGAUUGGCUGAUGCUAUGGACCUGAUGGCCUACAUACUCAACCACUGCCUUUUUGCGAUGGCAUUAGCAGCACUGCAUGUUGGCCUCAACUGUGACAAGCCUCUAGGCCCUUGGGCAAUUAAUAAUUAAUAAGAAGACACUGACCUGAUUGUUUAAAUCCUCAAGACUGAGAAAUCACACAACUCUACCCAAGCCAACAUAAUUAAAUGGUAUUAAAACUAGACAGAAAAGAAAUUCUUUAAAUGCUGCUACAAAUAUCUUCAGACUGAAUAUACUUUUUCUGAAAUAAAUAGAAAUAAUCUAGCAGACUUUAUUGGAAACAGGAUUGGUCCAAUUGUUUGUCUCACUCUGGUUAAAAUCUGAUGGCAUGUGGCAGCCUGAAAAAUAACUGUUGUUGUUACAGUACAAGCUGAAAGGACUGAAAAGACAAAUGCCAGUGGGAUUCUCUCUUGUAGCCACAUAAACACAUCUCUACUUUCUUGGACUCUUUCAUACAGGCUCACAUAUUUGUUAAACCAGGAUUUAUGAUAGUCUCAUCCUCACCCUAGGAUUCUUUCCUCUCCACCCAAAGACUAAGAAAAAAAAAUAUUUUGCUUGGACUACUGUUUGCGUUGCUUUUUAAACUCUUUUGGCAAAUGACUAAUGAAUAUUCGAGCAACAGAAAAUGAGAUGAGUGAAUCUUCCUCUAAAAGAAAAACAGAUGCUUCAGGUAAACUGAUCAAGGUGUCUGGACUUCACCUUUGCAAUGUUCUGAAAGAACAGUCCAUACUCCCAAGCCUCGUGUCCUUCCCCCUUUCUCUGGGAAUUUGUCAUUUCUCAAAAUCUAGCUUUGACAGUGUUUCAGGGCUGUGUGUUUUGUUUUUCUUGCGCCUGCAGUCACUCAGGCAUGAUUCUUAAUCUGCAUGAGUCUGUCUAUGAUUCUGUCUUCUGAUCUCUGGGAUUUGCUAAAUUGCUCUGUCCUCUGAAUCUGAGAGUGCUGGAUGAGUGGACACUUUGUCCCUUGUGGUUUCUGCUCCACUGACUUUCUUCUGCUUUGGGUAUAGAGUCCUUUGUUUUUCUUUUGGAAAACAAAAAUCCCAGACUUUAUGUAUUUAGUCACACCUUCCUGCCUCCAUCACUGUUCACACGGGACUUUCUUGUAAUUCUGUCACUAGAAUUCAGAUGUUGUUAGUUUUGUGUUUUGAGUUAAAUGUGCUUGAAAAUAGGGUGUAACCUUUUCUUUUCAUUACUUCAACCCCAAGCAGCCACUAAGACUGUACUGUAAGGCACGAUAAAGGAACUACACAAUUGUAUGACAAGGUCUGAAUAGAAAUUGCAAUAAGUGGCUCCUCAUCAAUUCCAAAUGUACUGCCUCUUAAUGUUCCUUCUCUUGCUAUUGCACUGCCAGUCACAGCCUACGCUUUAUCUUGAUUUCUAUCCAAUCUAGACCAUGAUUUCUAUCAACUAGGCAGUCACACAGGCCUCCACCCUGCUGAACUUCUGUCAGAAACUCUGUAGUAGGGAUGCCAACUUUUGAAACUACACACCUAUCUUAGGGGCAGGCACCUCUGCAUAUGAUGUAGUCCAUCCUUUGCUGCAGGACACAACUUUCUAAAAGUGCCACAACUACUGACUAAUCACAACCUUUCUCUGGCAGAAGAGGUGAGUGCUGUUGAAAUGUAGGAACUGAGAAUGGGUUACUUUUGCCAACUAGUUCAGACACUAUUCAUCUCCUUUUUGUCCGGGUGUUGAGAAGAGAGGAUUAAUUGCUGUGACAGUAGCUCAUUUCUAAAAGCCCUCCUUCUCCAGGGGCCCCCAUCUUCCCCUUGUUACGCUUCUGGAUUGGGAAGGGCCUCUAAGGCGAAUAGUGGUAAGAACUCGGACACCACCACUACCAGAACCAGCUAUUUUGACUAAAGCCUAUUCUAGCAUACCACAGAGAGCGUAAAUGAACCUGGAAGUCAUAGUUGAUGCAGACUGAAUAUCCCUACUCUUCUUGAUGUCACUGAAAAUACCCUAUCUUUCUUUCUUUCUGUCUUUCACUCAUGAUUUGCAAAAAACAUUGUGAUAGUACAGUAGUGAUGUGGUAAUAGUUGGAAAAAAGAGUGUGAUUUUUCAAGGAAUGAAAAUUCCCAAGCCCCUUCUAACACCGCAAUUAAAUGGUUUACAGUGGUUUCAGACCACAUCAGCCUAUCUUAGAUAAACAUAUAACAUUGCAAAGCCUGUAUCCAAAGGUCACUCUCCAUCUGAAUAUACUGACAUUGAGGUUUUCUGUAUCUAUAGCUGGCAUCCUGCUGGUAUACAAUUUUAAGAAUCCUGUUGUGAUAUGAUGGUGCCAGCAGUGUGUUUGGAAAUGGUUGCUGAGUACUCACCUUUGCAUUUGCUACACUUCAGUUGUGGAGCCUCUCUUAGAGUUUUCAAACACUUUAUUAUAAAGUUGAGCCUGUGGUCAUUGAAGAGCUUUGUACAGUAAUGCUCUCAGGUUUCUGUUGUCAUUAUUUCUUUUCCAGCUCUCACAAUUAUGCUGCUCUUACAACUUUUUGCAGUGGAAGGUAAUAUUUACAUGCCUUGAAUCAUCCCGACAGGCAGUCAAAUGCUGUGAUUGACCUGAGUUACUCUUGCUUGACUGUCUGAGAGUUCCACACAUUCAACGUUAACACUUUUCUCACUGAAGUAAGUUGCAUCCUUGGGCAUGCCAGAGCACUGUGUAACCUCCAAAAGAUUUAACCCCAGUUGGGUACCUGCAAUUAUACAAUCUCACAUGUUUAACAAACACCCUCUUGGACAGACUUCUCCCCAUAGGGUAAUACUGACUCUCAUUAUUUGCUAAGAAGAAAUGUCUCCGUUUCUCAAAUUUCUCUCAGGUUAUGGGUAAUCUAAAAGUAUGCGUGAUAACUCAUUUAUUUAGAUUUGAUGCUUCCUUAGAAGUUGUGUCUUGUGUUUGCCACUGUUACUUGUAAUCAUUACUACCAAGCAAGUUCAAGGAAAGAAAGGAUUGUACUAGUAAAACAAGGGUUACUACAAAAUGGAAAUAAACUUAACAAAUGAACAAACAAAAAGCAUAGAAGCAAGAAAAUCCAAUUUGAACAUGUUCCUUGUUCUGGCAGUCACUUAGGAUUUCUCUGAGGAGCCAAGGAGACAGUACAGCUGCACUUUAGAGCGUACUUCUCUUUUGGGUUUUUGCCUGCCUCCACCCAAAGACUUGCCUCAUUGCGAGAGAGGAUAAACUUCAGAACAUUUCAUUGAACAUUUUCUCUUCCUUCCUUCGAUUUAGAGAGAAUUUAAAUGGAUCAUCAACCUGAGCUAUUUUUAUGAAUGCAAAUGAAAUCCAUUUAAGUUUGUCCAUAAACAAAUCAUCUCUGAUAUGCAAUAAUCCUUUGACACACUGAUUUCCAAACUUAGAUUUACCUUCCUGCUUCUGUUGAAUUAUAAUUUGAUUUGAGUCUCCAUUUCCCAGUCAGCAUAAAUUCUAUUACAAAACUUUUUUAGACAUCGUACGUUUCAUAGAACAAAAAUAUCAACACAGCACAUCAGAUCUUAACUUUACAGAUUGUGGAAAAGGAAUGAAAUCAUAGAGUUCACACCUAAGAUGUCGCUAAUGCUGAUGAUCUGUUCAGGGUUUGGAGCAUUUUUGCAAAUAAUUUUCAUUUCUCUCAUUUUCCCACUUUAUCAUUUCAGAGGCUUUAUGCUAUCAUAGCAACUUCCAACUCUAAUUCCCUUAGCUGUGUUUAAUUAUAGAUAUUCUAUGUUAUUUAUUCCAGAGCUUCUUGGUACUGACUAGGCCAACCAGAGAUCUUUUGGGGGCCCUUUCAUUUCCAGAAGUACUGCUUUUAAUGUGUCAAGUCCUAUCAUCAGCAAGAUGGCUUUUUUCCAUAUCUAUACAGAAGAGUGUAAAAUUCAUGAAACUGUGCUCCAUUUCUCUGAAGUUGAAUGUACACGUUUUAAAUCCCAUUUCCUUUUGUAACUAGCUUAAAUUAUCUUUGGAAUUAGGCAUUUAAAAUAAACUUACUUGGUUGGAUAAUAAGUAGACAGUUUCAAAAGGUAUGUUUUAUGCUUUUCACUGAUUUCCUUGUUCUAUUGGCAGUAAGACACCUUUGCAACAUGCUUGCUUUAAUUGGCAGUCCUUUGGUAGAAUGUGGGAAUAGAGUUCAGAACAGUAAUUGUGCAGAGACAUGCCUAUUCUUCUUUUGCAUUUUCUCUUUGAUAACUGGAAACACUAAUUUAUUUCUGUGUUCCAAAAACACUGCUAGAUUUUCUUUUUGCCUUUGAGGGGAAUCAAUCCUCUACUUCUUGUAGGGAGUUUAUUGUUACUGUCAUUAGUGGCACUCUGGUUUGAACAGAGCUGAACCCAAAGGCUCUCAUCACAACUCUAAUUUCCCUUUGCUGAAACAGGAGGGAGUCAGAGCACUCGCUACCUCAAAGGAAGUGUGCAGCAUACUUAACGUUGAUGCUAUUAUUAUGAUUGGCAUAUUUUGAUCAUCUUAUUUUUCUCUUUGAUACUGAUGUACAGUGAAGAGUGAACAUUAUCUUUAAGCUGCAAUCUGAUCUUACUGAGCUUUAAGUGCAGCAAAGGGCAGUGGAUUUUCUUUUCAGCAACAACACAAACAGCAGGAGUUCUGGAAAUUGUAGUGGCAACAGCAGCUUCUGUUGUGACAGUUCUCUUGUAGGUCACCAUGGUGAGAAUGUAUCCGAGUGUUAAUUUUUUUUUCCUAGUCCAGACACUAGCAUUAUUUCUAGAAGCCAGAAGGAUACCUUAUACAAAUUAAUAUUCUUAACAUGAAUAAUCUUAAUGUAUAUUUGCUAAUAGAAAAAAUACACACAUCCUCCUUUUCAGGACAAAUUUAAUGCCUAGACAAAGAAAUAGUUAACCACAGUUUCAAAACUAAAUACAGCAUAUUUAUGUUUACUGAAUAAAUAACAACAUGGAGCCUCACUUACAUUCUGCUUUGCUUUUCUCUGUGAAGAAUCAUUAUAGAUAUCUUAAUAUUAAAAACCUUCAUUUUUGACCUGUGGGUACUGCAAGAUAAUGCUGAGGGCUUACUUGUACUUAUCACAGAGAAGGCUAAACUCUCUUGUCUGAGCUCAAUUGAAGUGGCCAUGUUGAAACAAAGCAUCUGACAUGAGCCGCUCCGAUGGUCAGGGAUAUCACCCAUCAAAACAUCUUAUGAAAAUCUGGAAGAGGAAGAAUUAACUCUUUUUGGGGGGGAGCUCCUUUAGGAGUCAGCAUGACCCUUCUUCCCAGUCCUGCUUCUUAGAUUUGCCCAUCAGCGAUGCGGCGAGCAGCCUGUUGAUGGGCUGCUGCUGGCGACUGAGUCACAACGAGAGCUACCAUAUUAGUGAGCCCACAGCCAGUCAUGCCUGCAGCCCUGGUCUGCUGGGCCACUUCUGGGAUUGUGCAGCACGAGGGCUGGAUACCAAGGACCAUUACUCAGAUGAGAGAAGAUUUGAGAAAAACAGAGGUUUUUCUCUUUCUGUUUUUCAGGGUUUACUUUUCUUGGUUUGUUUCAUUUCUUGACUUUCUUUCUUACUUAGGGAAUUAGUUAAAACCUGGAUUCCAUAUGAAUGAGGAAAAGAUCACAAAGAUUAAAUGGGAAGUAGUUAACACAUUAUUAUUUGGUUUCUUUAAGAGAUGCUUUUAUGACAGAAAUGUUGCUGGGUAGGAAAAGUUAUCAAUGGGAUUGCAUAGACGGUAGUAUAGCUAAGUUAAAAGCUGCACAUUAUGAUUAUAAUGUCUUGAAAUUUUGAACUUUCUGUUUGAAAAUCACAUUCAGGCUUUGAAUUUUCAUGAGAAUGUUCUCUACUGUAAAAGAUGGCAUCCAUACAGCAUUAGAAAACUGAGAAGUGUUGUAUUUCGUGGAGCCAAAAAACAAACUUUUUUGCCAAACUUCUUCAAUAACUUUAGCUUAAAAGAUAAGAACAGAAGUACUUUACGGUUGAUUAUGCUUUAGCUUUUAAACUCUCUAACCUCUCUUAAAGCUCUCUUAAAAUGCAUCAUUCAAAGGUAGAAAAAAUAAUCAAAAGUUCAGAUAUUCAGUGAAGAACCGAACAGAGCAGUAAUAAUGGUUGAGGCACAUUAAGGAUGACAGGUGAGAAUAGGCUAAGCAAAAACUGAUACUCUAAUGUUGUCGUAAAAAAAUUGGCAAGAUUUUAGAUGGCAAAAGGACUCAUCUCAGAGCAAAAAUAACACUUCCAAUGUACCUUUUGUGUCACCUGCAGUUCUGCUCUGAGCUGUGAGCUCCCUGUGGUGCAGGGGGAACAUGCAAACAUACACUUACAAGUGAUUGAGUUACCAACCCAAACUACUGCUUUUCAGGUAGGACACUCUAGCAGAAUAUACUAACUUAAACUAACACGUUACUUCAGCUGCUGGACAAGCUGAGAACAUGUACACAGGCAACUAUUACAUCUUGUCUGUGGAGCAGUAACCUAUUAAGCCAUGCUAAGCCAUGGCUUAAUUAUAAACUGGCUUGACAGCUUGUGGUUGUAUGUCCCUACCCAAUUUAAGAAUGUGAACAAAGCUCAAAGGAAGGCAACAAAAAUAAUCGAGGCACAUCAACCUCUUCAGUUUGUUGCAUCUUGGAGCCAGCUCAUGACUGCCUGCGCGAAGCUCCAAAUAAGCACUUGCACACUGCUAAUUAAGUGCCUUUGUGAAGGCAUCUAGCCUGUCACCAGCCAUGUUUAAGAUUGCAUUUGUCAUUCUAAUGCUGAAACUGAAUAGCAUUUCAUAUUAUGCUCUAAUAAACAACAAUAUUCUGUCCUUCUUCAUGGUCUUCUUGAAGCAUUAAGCUCCUAGUUGCUAGAGGAAAUGUCUGAUAUUAGUCCCCAACUAUCUUGCUUUUAAACUCCUCAAUUUAUCCGUAUUCCAAUUUCUCCAUCAAUUUAACUGCGUAUGGUUUCCCAGCUCUCUUUACUGUUUGUGCCUCCUUGCACUGGGCUGUUUACAGUUCUAUUUCCCACCACCUUCUUCUGCUGGUGUCAUAAAUGAAAAUGUCUAGGUUUAACCUCCAACUGAUCUUUUAUAAAACCUUCUUUACUCAGAUAGUUCACCUCUGAUCAUUUAUGGAUAGUCCAUCACCUACAUUACUCUGCUAAUCCCCGUUAUCUGCUUCUUCACCUAGAAGGUGAAUGAUAUUAUAAGAAAGAUAUUAGGUUAAUCUGUUAAUGUCCACCUUUGUAAACCAACAUUACUCUUUAUCAUUUCCUGCUACAUUCAGAAAGCUUACUGUGAGACAAAUAAUUUCCUUUAUUUUUUGAUGUCUGGAAUGGGCAUUAUCUAAAGUUUUUCUACCUAUAUGCUGUAGUCUGUGCUUUAUUUUCCUUUUAUAUGUGAUACUGGCAAUUUCCUUUCCCUCUUAACUGUUAGUCAUCUUGCCAUCUCACUCCAUGUUCAACAUCAUCAUCUUUACUGAAAAUUGAGACAAAAUAUGUGUUUAGUUUUAGAAUUAGAUACAGACUACCCCUAAUCCCCACUUUUGACUCACUGAAGAGCAGCAUCACUUCUUGCUUACAAUACUAUGUUACAGCUGGAUAACAUCUUGCUGAUUUUCUAGGUAUCAUGUGGAAACUCAAAUUCACUUAAUUUCUCAGAUAAAUUCUCCCUUCGUCUCUCACAGCUAUUGACAUUGAAUAUCUUUCCUGAUCCAGACUUUUCUGUUUUGUUUUAUGCUCUCUGCUUAUAACCUGGACCUCUCUUGCAGCCAUUUCUCUUCCAGUUUUGCCUUGAAGUCUGUUCCUGUAACCCCUUUGCCUUGUGUAUGAUCAGAAUCACAGUGGAUUUAAAAUGUUAGAGAUACUCAAGGUUUCUUUCAGAUUGCUGAUACAAUUGCCCAAGCUGACGUUGUUGCCAGGUUCCUUCAUUUAUCCAGCCAGUCCUUCUGAAAUUGACAAUGUUCUACUUAUUCACCUUUACCUUUCUUGACACAACUUACCAUUACCUACUCCAGGGCUGUUACCCACAGCCAGACCUCUGAAGAUUUUUGAAUCAUCAAAAAAAGCUUUGCUUCUUAAAGGCUUGGUGACAGUUGGGAAGAGGAAUUCAUUGACUACCAGAAACAAGAAUGUCUGAACCUAGCUAUGAGUGACAUACAUUCCCCAAACUACUAACAGGUAAUAAUACUAUUACUGAGUUUUGUCAGUAUCUGUGCCUUUUUCUUUGCUACCCAUUUUUCUCUUGAUGAGUAAAACCCAGGCAAAACGUUACAUAAACCUUUCCAAACUUUCUUUACUCAUUUCUUAACAUGAAGUCAACCUUAUUAUCUGUGGUUCACAGAUAAGAAAUGUCUUGUGAAAGAGUUGCUCCAGUGUGAAGGCCUGUUACUGCACUGGACGAAAGUUUUAAAGCUCAAAAAGAGAAGUGAAAUUGAGAUAAUGUAAAAAUGGUGUCAGCUCAAGUUACAGUUGUUUUGUCAUUCAUUUAACCGUGAAACAAAUUUUAUUCUUGUGAUUCAUCAACAGCUACUCCUAAAGGGACAGAUCUGUUUGCCAAGAAAAGUAAAAUACGAAGAAUCAGGAAUUUUAAAAAUUCUAUCUGUAUGACACGAGGUCUGACAUGGAAGUGUGUAUGAAGCAAAGGGGUGUCACUGAAUUCCUCCACAUGGAAAAAGUGGCACCAUUCAGUGAAGCAGUGCGUGGUGUAUUUCAGCUGUGGUGACAGAGACAGCAGAUCACCUCCACUGGUGCAGAUUUUUACAAGCACGUCAUACAGGCUCUUGUUCAUUGCUGGUGAAAAAGCAUAGCUCAUAGUGGUGACUGUGCUGAAAAAAAGUGUUUUGUAGCUGAGAAUCAAACAGUGUUAUUGUGCUCUUUGUUUCAAUUGUAGUUUUGAUGGAAAUAAAUAAAAGGCAUUACUUUCA